rnacentral:rRNA from 1 species
GACGAACGCUGGCGGCGUGCUUAACACAUGCAAGUCGAACGGACCAAGUGGAUAGCUUGCUAGAAGCUUGGUUAGUGGCGGACGGGUGAGUAACACGUGGAUAAUCUGCCUUUGACACUGGGACAACACUGUGAAAACGGUGCUAAUACCGGAUACCUUAGUUAGUUCUCAUGAAUUGAUUAAGAAAGGAGCAAUCCGGUCAAAGAUGAGUCCGCGGCUGAUUAGCUAGUUGGUGAGGUAACGGCCCACCAAGGCGACGAUCAGUAGCCGGCCUGAGAGGGUGAACGGCCACACUGGGACUGAGACACGGCCCAGACACCUACGGGUGGCUG